rnacentral:misc_RNA from 1 species
AAAGUCGUAACAAGGUCUCCGUUGGUGAACCAGCGGAGGGAUCAUUACAGAGUUGAAAGACUCCUAAACCAUCGCGAACGCUACCCCUAUCGUUGCCUCGGCGGGCGCCCCCCCCAGCUCUUGGGCGGGGGGGAGCCCCGCCGGCGGCACCCCGAAACUCUGUUUUUUACCACUGGACCUCUCUGAGUAUACUGUAUCAAAUCAGUCAAAACUUUCAACAACGGAUCUCUUGGUUCUG